rnacentral:rRNA from 1 species
GACGAACGCUGGCGGCGUGCCUAAUACAUGCAAGUCGAACGCAGUGGGGACGGGUGAGUAACACGUGGGUAACCUCCCAUCAGAGGGGAUAACACUUGGAAACAGGUGCUAAACCGAUACUGAUGGAUGGACCCGCGGUGCAUUAGCUAGUUGGUGAGGUAACGGCUCACCAAGGCCACGAUGCAUAGGCGACCUGAGAGGGGGAUCGGCCAAACUGGGGCGUAGAAACGGCCCAGAAUCCUACGGGUGGCAGCAGUAGGGAAUCUUCCGCAAUGGGCGAAAGUCUGAACGAGCAACGCCGCGUGAGUGGAAGAGGUUUUCGGGUCGUAAAACUCUGUUGUUAGAGAAGCGGUAUCUAACCAGAAAGCCACGGCUAACUACGUGCCAGCAGCCGCGGUAAUUC